AUACUGAAUUGGUAGGAAAUAAUGUGAAAAUCAUUAACUGUUCCUGCAACGGUGAAAAAGUAAGAUAAAGUCCGAGCACUACCCAGUAUAGUCCCCUGUCGAACAAUGGCCAGGAAAAGUCUAGUUCUACAAUGAAAAA
rnacentral:ncRNA from 10 species